UCACCAGGAAUGGAGUGUUGGCUGAAGGUUUCACAGAACAUUUCUUUUUUCCUUUUAGCCAAAUGCCAGUGAGGCGUCACACAUUGGAAGUGUGCAGGUUGCCAAAUUGUAUAACCCACUUGGAGGUUUGCAGGCAAAUGUCAGAGAGGCAUGGUCCAAGGAACAGGAAGUGGAGAAAGGCAUUAAAAAUUUGACCUACAUUGAAAGGCUGAAGGAGCGUGCCAAGAAAGUUAAAAUACCAGAGCUCAGGAAAGCUCCACAGAGCACUCCAGAUCCUGUGCCUGAGAGGAAGAGAACGAUGCCCACGAACCCUGCAAAAUUCUUCCCGAGACUUUGCAGUUCUGUUUCUCAAUGCCCAGUCAGGGACAGGGUGAUUCAUUUACUGGCUCUGAAGAAUUACAAGCAGCCAGAGCUCCUUGCCCGCUUGCAGAGAGAGGGAGUUGUGGAAAAGGACAAGGAAUCCCUUGGAAAGAUCCUUCAGGAGAAAAACAGCUCCACCUCAGAAUGCCACCAACACCAGCCAGUCAUCAUCUCUGGGACCUUCUGAGAGAGAUACUCCACUGAGAACUGCUCAGAAACGGCUUCUGGCUUCUGAUUUUAUCAAUCCUGGG